rnacentral:miRNA from 1 species
UGAACUUUACCAUGAAAAAG